rnacentral:rRNA from 1 species
GAUGAACGCUGGCGGCGUGCCUAAUACAUGCAAGUCGAGCGAACGGGCGAGAAGCUUGCUUUUCUGAUGUUAGCGGCGGACGGGUGAGUAACACGUGGAUAACCUACCUAUAAGACUGGGAUAACUUCGGGAAACCGGAGCUAAUACCGGAUAAUAUUUUGAACCGCAUUGUUCAAAAGUGAAAGACGGUCUUGCUGUCACUUAUAGAUGGAUCCGCGCUGCAUUAGCUAGUUGGUAAGGUAACGGCUUACCAAGGCAACGAGGCAUAGCCGACCUGAGAGGGUGGUCGGCCACACGGGAGCUGAGACACGGUCCAGACUCCUACGGGAGGCAGCAGUAGGGAAUCUUCCGCAAUGGGCGAAAGCCUGACGGAGCAACGCCGCGUGAGUGAUGAAGGUCUUCGGAUCGUAAAACUCUGUUAUUAGUGAAGAACAUAUGUGUAAGUAACUGUGCACAUCGUGACGGUAACUAAUCAGAAAGCCACGGCUAACUACGUG